UGGGUAACCUGCCUCAAAGAGGGGAAUAGCCUCCCGAAAGGGAGAUUAAUACCGCAUAAUAUGUUUAAGUCGCAUGACUUUAACAUCAAAGGAUUUUUCUUUUAAGAAAUUCCACUUUGAGAUGGACCCCGCGGCGCAUUAGCUAGUUGGUGAGGUAACGGCUCACCAAGGCAACGAUGCGUAGCCGACCUGAGAGGGUGAUCCGGCCACAUUGGAACUGAGACACGGCCCAGACCUCCGUAGGGAG
rnacentral:rRNA from 1 species